GAUCCCACCCCCCUCCCUUCCCCCGUCGCCACCGCGCGCACCUCCGGGCGCCGCCCCCGCACCUCCCUCUCCCACACGUCGUGAUCGCCCCCGAAGCGGAGACCCCUGCUUUGACGGCGCUGAGGCCCUCCUGCUCUUCCUCGCCACCGCCUCGACGUCGCGCCUAAGCACCUCGGCAGCCACCACACGUGCCUCGCCCUGCCACGGCGCUGCAGCCAGAGCCAGGCGCUCCUGCACGGAAUUCAGGGGAUGGAGGCCACUGGUGCACGUGCCACUCACCACCACCAAGAUGGACGCUGGGGAGAUGGAGGAUGUGCAGGCCCCCGCGGCCGUCCAGGUUGUCAAACCAGUUGAUUCCUUCAGCAGCAAGGGACAUUGAAGACACCCAGAUCAUACUACCGACAGAAAAAAUAAUUACGGAUGAAGCAAGGUUCUUGUGUCAAUUCUCUAGGCGGUGAACUCUGGUGCAAAUUCGUACAUUUGCUAUGGCUGUGCUUCAAAUUGCUAACAAUAUUUGUUAUUUCAGUAAACCAGAAAUACUUCAAGACGUGCCCAAGGAAACAAAAAAAAGGAAGGUGUCGUCAAUGCUGUUGAGGCGCUUCUUAAUCAAGAGAACUAUUCAAAAUCCACCCAUAUGCCUGAUAACAUGCAACAACCAGAGACUCAAAAUUGUCAUAAGAAAUAAGACUACAUGUUUUUGCUAUGCAUUUGAUGCCUAUAGAUCUGAAGCUGCCGAAAAAGGACUUGUAGGAUUGGGAAGGACAGUCUUUUUACUUUUGCCAGGCAUGUGAAGACAACCUAUGAGAUGGGGUUAACUGAUAUUUUGCAGAAACUCAAAAGGCUAUGAAUUGCAGUUCUGGCCAUUUUUUUGCUAUGGUGAAAAGAUUUCAGUCGUUUUCUCAGAUGUCUUUCUCAAGAAUGGGCCAAGGUUGCGGUGACUUGGUCUUGACACUUUUAGUAAGGAAGCUGCAGAAUGCUCUUACUUCUCUUGACAAUUUUCCAGUUAUAAUGAGCCACCACUUCAAGCUAAGGAGCAGUAUUGCCGAUAUCUACAAGGCACUCAACAAUUACUCCAUGUAUCCGAUUAGACCUCGUGUUGCUAUUAUAAUGGGAUCUCAGUCUAAUCUUCCUAUGAUGAAAGUUGCUGAGAGGGUUUCAAAAGAGUUCAACAUACAUUGUGAGGUUUGAUAUCUGAAAUCUCUGCUCACGUGCCAAGUCAAACUUGAGAAGAGGGUAACGUUGUUAAUGCCUGAUUUUUUCAGCAAACUAUUGUUUCUGCACACUGUACUACAGAGUGGAUGAUGUAGUCUUCGAAGAAAAUUUGUGAUCGAUCUCUUAAGUUACAAGAACAAUUUGUACCGAUAUAUCAUCCUGCAAACAUACAACGAAGACUUAUCAAUAUCGCUAAAAAUAAUUAAAUUAGUGUACGGUUGUCGACUAUCAUUAAAAAAUUUAUAUUGACACUUUAGAAAUAAUUUGUCCGAUAUUGAUAAUGUUUGUUCGACAUCAGUUCGAUCUAUUUGGAUCGACGUAUUUAUAAUAAUAUUACAUAUUUAUAUCGUCAAUAUAAUAUUAGUGUUACAUUGCUAUUUUAUCAAAGGAUUUUGCAUAUCAU